AAAGAGCUUGCUCUUUCCGGAAUUGAGUGGCAAACGGGUGAGUAACACGUAAACAACCUGCCUUCAGGAUGGGGACAACAGACGGAAACGACUGCUAAUACCGAAUAAGUUCCAAGAGCCGCACGGCCCAUGGAAGAAAAGGUGGCCUCUACCUGUAAGCUAUCGCCUGAAGAGGGGUUUGCGUCUGAUUAGCUGGUUGGAGGGGUAACGGCCCACCAAGGCGACGAUCAGUAGCCGGUCUGAGAGGAUGAACGGCCACACUGGAACUGAGACACGGUCCAGACUCCUACGGGAGGCAGCAGUGGGGAAUCUUCCGCAAUGGGCGAAAGCCUGACGGAGCAACGCCGCGUGAGUGAUGACGGCCUUCGGGUUGUAAAACUCUGUGAUCCGGGACGAAAAGGCAGAGUGCGAAGAACAAACUGCAUUGACGGUACCGGAAAAGCAAGCCACGGCUAACUACGUGCCAGCAGCCGCGGUAAUACGUAGGUGGCAAGCGUUGUCCGGAAUUAUUGGGCGUAAAGCGCGCGCAGGCGGCU
rnacentral:rRNA from 1 species